rnacentral:rRNA from 1 species
AGUGAGCGCUGGCGGUAGGCCUAACACAUGCAAGUCGAACGGCAGCACAGUAAGAGCUUGCUCUUACGGGUGGCGAGUGGCGGACGGGUGAGGAAUACAUCGGAAUCUACUUUUUCGUGGGGGAUAACGUAGGGAAACUUACGCUAAUACCGCAUACGACCUACGGGUGAAAGCAGGGGAUCUUCGGACCUUGCGCGAUUGAAUGAGCCGAUGUCGGAUUAGCUAGUUGGCGGGGUAAAGGCCCACCAAGGCGACGAUCCGUAGCUGGUCUGAGAGGAUGAUCAGCCACACUGGAACUGAGACACGGUCCAGACUCCUACGGGAGGCAGCAGUGGGGAAUAUUGGACAAUGGGUGCAAGCCUGAUCCAGCCAUACCGCGUGGGUGAAGAAGGCCUUCGGGUUGUAAAGCCCUUUUGUUGGGAAAGAAAAGCAGCAGGUUAAUACCCCGCUGUUCUGACGGUACCCAAAGAAUAAGCACCGGCUAACUUCGUG